UACGUAGGGGGCAAGCGUUGUCCGGAAUUAUUGGGCGUAAAGCGCGCGCAGGCGGUCAUUUAAGUCUGGUGUAUAAACCAAGGGCUCAACCUUUGGACGCAUUGGAAACUGGGUGACUGGAGUGUAGGAGAGGAAAGUGGAAUUCCACGUGUAGCGGUGAAAUGCGUAGAGAUGUGGAGGAACACCAGUGGCGAAGGCGGUUCUCUGGGCCUUACCUGACGCUGAGGAGCGAAAGCGUGGGGAGCGAACAGG
rnacentral:rRNA from 1 species